GUGAAUCAUCGAAUCUUUGAACGCAAAUUGCACUCUCUGGUAUUCCGGAGAGUAUGCCUGUUUGAGGGUCAGUUUAAAUAAAAAUCGGUUUUGUUGCUACCUUUCGUGGUUACGCACCGGAUUUCUGUCUUCAUGCCUUCGGUUAAGUGACCUAAAAUUUUCCAUGAUUUUGUUCUAACGUAUUUAAAUGAAUUUACGUACGUUUGCGUAAUCGUAUUCUAAUUGUCUUCAUCCUCAUGAUUAGCUCCU
rnacentral:misc_RNA from 1 species